rnacentral:rRNA from 1 species
AUUGAACGCUAGCGGGAUGCCUUACACAUGCAAGUCGAACGGAGUGGCGAACGGGUGAGUAAUGUAUCGGAACGUGCCCAGUAGCGGGGGAUAACUACGCGAAAGCGUAGCUAAUACCGCAUACUAUUGGAGCGGCUGAUAGCGGAGUUGCUAGUUGGUGGGGUAACGGCUCACCAAGGCGACGAUCCGUAGCUGGUUUGAGUGGACGAACAGCCACACUGGGACUGAGUAACGGCCCAGACUCCUACGGUAGGCAGCAGGGGGUAAUUUUGGACCAUGGGGGAAACCCUGAUCCAGCCAGCCCGCGUGCGCGAUGAAGGCCUUUGGGGUGGAAAGCACUUUUGGCAGGAAAGCGGUACCUGCAUAAUAAGCACCGGCUAACUACGUGCCAGCAGCCGCGGUAAUAC